rnacentral:rRNA from 1 species
ACACAUGCAAGUCGAGGGGCAGCAUGGUCUUAGCUUGCUAAGGCCGAUGGCGACCGGCGCACGGGUGAGUAACACGUAUCCAACCUGCCGUCUACUCUUGGACAGCCUUCUGAAAGGAAGAUUAAUACAAGAUGGCAUCAUGAGUCCGCAUGUUCACAUGAUUAAAGGUAUUCCGGUAGACGAUGGGGAUGCGUUCCAUUAGAUAGUAGGCGGGGUAACGGCCCACCUAGUCUUCGAUGGAUAGGGGUUCUGAGAGGAAGGUCUCCCACAUUGGAACUGAGACACGGUCCAAACUCCUACGGGAGGCAGCAGUGAGGAAUAUUGGUCAAUGGGCGAGAGCCUGAACCAGCCAAGUAGCGUGAAGGAUGACUGCCCUAUGGGUUGUAAACUUCUUUUAUAAAGGAAUAAAGUCGGGUAUGGAUACCCGUUUGCAUGUACUUUAUGAAUAAGGAUCGGCUAACUCCGUGCCAGCAGCCGCGGUAAUACGGAGGAUCCGAGCGUUAUCCGGAUUUAUUGGGUUUAAAGGGAGCGUAGAUGGAUGUUUAAGUCAGUUGUGAAAGUUUGCGGCUCAACCGUAAAAUUGCAGUUGAUACUGGAUAUCUUGAGUGCAGUUGAGGCAGGCGGAAUUCGUGGUGUAGCGGUGAAAUGCUUAGAUAUCACGAAGAACUCCGAUUGCGAAGGCAGCCUGCUAAGCUGCAACUGACAUUGAGGCUCGAAAGUGUGGGUAUCAAACAGGAUUAGAUACCCUGGUAGUCCACACGGUAAACGAUGAAUACUCGCUGUUUGCGAUAUACUGCAAGCGGCCAAGCGAAAGCGUUAAGUAUUCCACCUGGGGAGUACGCCGGCAACGGUGAAACUCAAAGGAAUUGACGGGGGCCCGCACAAGCGGAGGAACAUGUGGUUUAAUUCGAUGAUACGCGAGGAACCUUACCCGGGCUUAAAUUGCAGAUGAAUUACGGUGAAAGCCGUAAGCCGCAAGGCAUCUGUGAAGGUGCUGCAUGGUUGUCGUCAGCUCGUGCCGUGAGGUGUCGGCUUAAGUGCCAUAACGAGCGCAACCCUUGUUGUCAGUUACUAACAGGUUCCGCUGAGGACUCUGACAAGACUGCCAUCGUAAGAUGUGAGGAAGGUGGGGAUGACGUCAAAUCAGCACGGCCCUUACGUCCGGGGCUACACACGUGUUACAAUGGGGGGUACAGAGGGCCGCUACCACGCGAGUGGAUGCCAAUCCCCAAAACCUCUCUCAGUUCGGACUGGAGUCUGCAACCCGACUCCACGAAGCUGGAUUCGCUAGUAAUCGCGCAUCAGCCACGGCGCGGUGAAUACGUUCCCGGGCCUUGUACACACCGCCCGUCAAGCCAUGGGAGCCGGGGGUACCUGAAGUGCGUAACCGCGAGGAGCGCCCUAGGGUAAAACUGGUGACUGGGCUAAG